rnacentral:tRNA from 1 species
GAAGUUGUGGCUCAGGGGUAGAGCACUUGCCUGGCAUGUGUGAGGCCCUGGGUUCAAUCCUCAGCACUGCA